rnacentral:lncRNA from 1 species
CCUUAUUCGAUUUUCAUUUCCUUAUUCGAUUUUCUUUUCCUUAUUCGGUUUCUUCUUCCUUUUUCAAUAUUCAUUUCCUUUUUCGGUUUCUACUUCCUUAUUCGGUUUCUAUUUCCUUAUUGGAUUUUCAUUUCCUUAUUCGAUUUCCAUUUCCUUAUUCAAUUUUCAUUUCCUUAUUCGGUUUCUUUUUCCUUUUUCAAUAUUCAUUUCCUUAUUUGGUUUCUAUUUCCUUAUUCAGUUUCUAUUUCCUUUUUGGAUUUUCAUUUCCUUAUUCGAUUUCCAUUUCCUUAUUCGAUUUUCAUUUCCUUAUUCGAUUUCUUUUUCCUUUUUCAAUAUUCAUUUCCUUUUUCGGUUUCUAUUUCCUUAUUCGGUUUCUAUUUCCUAAUUGGAUUUUCGUUUCCUUAUUUGAUUUCCAUUUCCUUAUUCGAUUAUCAUUUCCUUAUUCGAUUUCUUUUUCCUUUUUCAAUAUUCAUUUCCUUUUUCGGUUUCUAGUUCCUUAUUCGGUUUCUAUUUCCUUAUUAGAUUUUCAUUUCCUUAUUCAAUUUCCAUUUCCUUAUUCGGUUUCUUUUUCCUUAUUCAGAUUCUUUUUCCUUUUCGGUUUCUUUUUCUUUUUUCAAUAUUCAUUUCCUUUUUCGGUUUCUAUUUCCUUUUUCGAUUUUCAUUUCCUUAUUCGGUUUCCAGUUCCUUUUUCGAUAUUCAAAUUUUGAAAAAUAUUACAA